AUUUUAUUUUAUUUUAUUUUAUUUUAUUUUACAGUACUGGUGAUUGGACCCAGGACACAAUACCACUAAGUUACAUCCUCAGCCCUUUUUAUUUUUUAUUUUGAGACAGUGUCUAGCUAAGUUGCCCAGGCAGGCCUCAAACUUUCUAACCUUCUGCCUCAGCCUCCCAAGUAGCUGGGAUUACAGACAUGUGCCACAGUGCCUGGUGGAAUAGUCCCCUUAUAAAAGAGCCCUGAGGGACCUUGUCCACCCUUUCAUUCAUAUUCUUUUCAUCAUGUGAGGACAAAGUGAGGAGGUGCCAUCUUAGAUGAAUGGAGACUCACUAGAUACUGCUGAUGCUUUGAUCUUGGAUUUCCCAAUCACCAGAUCUGUGACCAAUAAAUUACCUAGUCUAAAGCAUUUUGUUGUAGCAGUCUAAACUAAAAUAACUUCUGGUUUCCAAAACUAUUAUUUGUGAACUGUAUUUGUGAAUUUGUGUUGUAUUAAGCAACUAAAUUUGGUAAUCCAUUAUAGCAGCAAUAGAAAACAAUUACAGGAGUUUUUCCAGAAGUCUUUGUCAGUAAUUCAGGUGAGCAUUGAUUUAUCUGGGAUUUAUCUCAUUGGCUGCAAUUAACUCACAUGGUCAUAGAUGGCUGUAAAGAGGCUGAGCACAUUGAUACCUCCAGUGAUAGGAGAGUAAGUUAAUGAGAAAGAAGGGAAGAAUAGAUGGAGAGUAGACAACUAGAAGUCUCUGCCAGUUAUUGUUUAGAGAGCACUUAAUAGGAGCUUAGUACUUUGCUAUACUGUUCACAACUUUAGAAAGAUAGAUUUUUUUUCUUUUUAUCAGUGAUUUAACAGAAUCCUAAGACAGAAUAGGUAACUAGCUCACUAGAUUGUUUUCUGUGGAAAACUAUGACCACUUGAACAUCAGCAAUUAGUUUACACAAUUAGGACACAAUGAAUGUUGACUAGAUGAAUGAAAUUCUAAAAGCAAAUAUUUCAUCCCAAAAAUGACUCCAGAGUCUAAGCUCCUUGGCAUUCUGUGUGUAUAUGUGCUUUUAUUUCUAUGGUGAGAAUGUUGACAUUGCUGCCAUUUAAGAAAUUUGAAGUAUGUAGCCAGAAGGCAAAUUUAUCAACAUAAAUGAGUGGUUGUGACAAAAAAAAUGAUGUCCAAGAGGAAGUGACACUGACAAAAACUUCACAUUAAAGGGACUGUCAAGUAUAUUUCAGGAUGUUGACUGUGUAAAGGACAGAAUGUUGGAAGUGAAUCCAAACUUAGAAGGGUGUGACAAGGUGCCAAGGCCUAGAAAAGAUGCUCUGGAGAUUGGCCAUCCCUUCUCUCUGCUGCUGAUCUUCCUGAUUUUCAUUCGGCUGUCACAGUACAACCCAGUUAAUUCCAUUCCAGUUUCCCGAGAGACUGCAAGACCAGUUUUCCCCUGGGAAAAGAAAAGCUGAUGGCUAUGAAUCCAUUUAGGGCCUUGAGGAAAGAAUGCAAAUGUCGAGGAUGCUUAUUUCUGAUUGUCUCACAAGGGCUGGGUAGAGUAAAUCCUUUUUAUAAGAAAGACUUGAGGACAAGCCAUUUUGGAGGUUAUCAGGAAAGUUAUGUAUGUGCAGGUGCCAGGGAGUGGUUUCUCUUCUAGAAAGGCUCUGCAGCUCAACAUUUCCUCCCACAUGCCUCUUCGAAUAUGCAAGUGGCAUAUAUAUUUAUAACUGCAAUGAAAAAGUGAACUCUAUUAGCAGAGAUAACUCAUAAUUCAAGCGAUUGUGCUCUAUAGAGCAACCAGAGACGAAAGGCAUCAGAACUGUGUAUGUUCAGUCAAAUUAUUUGCAAAUUUAGGUGAAUUAUAAGACAGUAAUUGAGGAAGGAGGAAGAAGGAGGACUAGAGUUGAUCAUAUCUUUGGAGGACUCUGGGGGUCUAGCAUAGCUGAAUGAUUCUUCCAGAGAGUUGGUAAGUCCUUGACCACAGUAACUUCAUGCAUUUUUUUAUCCACCCAUCCUAGUAGCAACCCUCAAUAAAUGUUUGAGUGAAGGAGUGAAUGAAAUGUUGACCUUGGCAAUGCACAAUAGAUCCUGAACUGGGCUAUGUGUGUGCACAUCUGCUUCCCUGGCUAUUUAAACAUUUUUUUUCUAAAUCAGUGGAGCUACAGCUGUAUAAUUGAAGAGUCACGUUAGAAAUCACUGUUAGUCCAAGUGAAGAUCCAACAGUGUCUCUAACCUUGGCUGCAUGAUAAAAUCACUUGGGAGCAGUUGGAAAAUCCCAGUGUUCAGGCUUCACCUCAGACUAUGGUAGUUAAAGUCUGAAUCUCUGGAGCAUAUGACUCCCAAGAUUGAGAACCACUGUUCAGCUAGCAUGGGCACUACUCUGUCUGGGAAAUUACAAGACCUAGAAGUUGCCAAUGCAACUUUCACUGAGGUCUAAAGUGCAGAUAGUCAGAAAGGAAAUAAUUCUGAUGAGACUUAGGAAUGUGUUUUUGUACUCAUCUGGCAUUUGAGUAGCAGAGGGCGUGUCACAUGUCUUGGGAAUACAUAACACUUCAGUCAACAAAACUAUGCCAUGCUGUGAAGAGAUGAGAGCUAUUGAAUAUCUCUGCUCUGCCCUGGCUAGUGACCUCUCCCCAGCCUGCAGGCUGGAGGAACACCUGAACUCUGGGGAUCUUUGCAGGCAGAGCAGCCUCAUUCCAUGCCUGAGUUCUCCCUGACAACCUCAUACCGUUUGGGGGAAAGGUAGGGAAGAGGUAGGAACUGUUGUUUUGGCUUGUAGACAUCUUUGCUGGUGGUGGUGGGGAUUGUGCAGGGGCUGAGCUGGGACUGGGGGAAGGAGAGCUGUGACUCAGGGGAAAUUCUAAGUCACUUGCAAGCUGCAGCAAGUGUGUGUCAGUGGGAGGUGAGAAAGGCAAACAGAGGGCUGAAAACUGAGCCAGGAACCUGCCUAGUGGAUAAUCAAAACUUGACUAUAAAUAGCUGAUGGAACGACAAACGUGUUUAGUGAUUUUCUAAAGCUGCAUAUAGGCAAAAUGAGUGCUUUCCUUGAGCAAAUCCUCAAGCUGUUCCAGAAGGCCAAGUAAAAAUACAGGAACACCUGUUUGGCAGUGGUGCCUUUACAUAAAUACUUCUUCCAGACAACUGAAAGCUACCCUUUUAGUUGUCAAAACUUCCAACAUUUUAAUUGCAUCAAGGAAAUCUUUCUAAAGUGAGUUACCUUCUCCCCAGAGGCAACAGACAAGAGUGCAUUGUUAUUUCUUGGCUUUUGGUGGUCCAAGAUCCAUCCAGUAGCAGAACCUGAAUUUUCUUCUCAAUCACCUUGCUCACACAUUCUCACUUUGAGCUCCAGGCAUGAAGUAUGAGACCAGGCUUAUGGCCAUCAGUGUCUUGUUUUGCCUGGCAAUGGACAGUGACUCUACUGCAUGGCUUCAUGACAGCUAUUCCUCCUGUUUUGAGUCCUUUCUGGCUCUCAUACUCUCAGAUAUGUUUUGGAUAGACAUAAUUAUUGCAAGUCUGCACUUUAUAUAAGUGGAGUUACUGACGUGAAUUUAUUAUUAUUUUUAGUAUUCUUAAAUACUAAAAGUAUUUUAGUUUUUGAAUAUUUUCAAAAGGCUCUUAAAAACAUAGGUAUUUCUUGACUUAAGAAUAAACUAGGGAGAAACAGCUCAGGAAACUAGUCUAAAAUAGUCUAUACUUAGUUUUAGUCUCAUUUCUCAAAAUAUUUUGCACAUAAUCCUAGCCAGCUUUGGUACUCUGGACAUCACAAUAUAGACAUACCCAGAAUGGUACAGUUAAAGUAAAAUGAGGCACCAUACCAUUAUCCAUACCAUUUAUCAGCAAUUAGCUUUUUUUUGAGAUUUGCAUCACUCAUCAAAAACCUAUAAGAAAAAACUUGUACAUUGUGGCAAAUUUUGCUCAAAACUCUGUGUACCUGGCUCAGUAGUGAACACCUAUCUCUUUGCCUGGACCUAAUGGUUUGGAAUUGUGAAUGAAAUUAAGCCCAUUGAUGGAUCAAGUUCUUGUGCUUGGUUCGUUGUUGAGAUAGUGAUGAGAGCAGAGAUGCUCUUGGAAGCUUUCAAGUCAAGAUGUGACAGAGGAAGCAGUCAAAUCACUCUCCAUCUUCAGACACAGAAUUGUGAGGAAGACAGCCCUGUAUGUCUCAUCAGGUUUUGUUUUGAGGGCAUCAUUGUUAUAACCAACCCAGAACGACAAUUGACAUUCAAAAUUAUAAUCUUGUGUCAUUAAGUCUAAAGUAUGGCCACAUUACUUUUUUCCAAGGCAGUGAAGUGUCCAAUACAUUUUAGAAAGCUGUAUGUCAAAGAAUGGGGCUGGGGAUUUAGCUCAGUGGUUCUGCCACCUGCCGCACAAGCACAAGGUCCUGAGUUUGAGCCCCGGUACCAAACAAACAAACAAAAAAACCGAAGAAUGGUUAGGUUUGGAUGUUUAAAGUGGCAAAUUGAAAUUUUGGGGGAAUAUCACUUAUGCGAACUGCCUUAAUUCUAAUUAAUAGAACAGAAAAUUAGAAAGGAAGAGGAGACCAAAUAUUUGGUUCCAUUAUGUUAUUA
ensembl:lncRNA